ensembl:lncRNA
AGCCAUUAUAACACAUCAUGGGAAACAUUUCUGAGCUGUUCUAUUAAUAACAGCAGUUCCUGAUUUCUUUGGUUUAAACUUACCUUUUUCACAUUUUCUUGUGACAUUUUCCAGAUAUAAAUUGUUAUGAUGAAGAGUCAUUCAUAGCAAGGGAAAAAGCUGUAAUUAUGUUUCUCUUUUCUAAAAGAAAGUGGGGCUGGAGGGGGAUUAUUUUACACAGAUCAGUGAAGGACACCCUAAUAAAGAUUGGUCUGGAACAUUUCUUUUUAUGACAAUUGACUUAUCGGCAAGAGUCAUUGUAGCAAAUCUGGAAAUUACAUAAUUGCCAGAAACUGUAGAUAUUUGACUUGGCAAGAACUUUAGGUGUCUCUGAUUUAUUAUUGUAAGAAUUUGGCUAUAUUUAACUACAUUGUCACUACUACUGUAACACAAAUAAACUAAACUGAAAACGUCCGGGAUGGCAAACUGGCACAGACAUCAAUCUGCAUGAAAGUAUUGAUUUCAACAGCUAAACACUCGUCUUCUCCACUCCACUGUGUUCUGCACUUCGAUCAAGUUAUUUGUGGGUCAUUCACUUUAUUAGACCCAGGCACAACAAUUAAAUGUAAAGGUAAAAAAAAAAAAAAGCUUGUUAUUUUUUGAUCUGUCCUUCAAAAGGCAGUGAAGUCUUUCCAAGUAACAACACCUAAAGGCAUUAAGCAAGGCCAAAAUUACAAGAAAUGUGGGUGACCAAGAUCAGAGUGGUGAAGCGGGAACAUUAAGAACUUAGAUUUGGAGGAUUUGCAGACCACAGCAAUUCCGAAAACACCCAUAAUUAUUCUUUGUAUCAGAAGAGCAGGUCACCACACAGUAGAUUAAGGUGAAUGUCUUUGCUUAAACCAUUUGCAUCAAAGAGAUUUACUUUGGCAAGUCCUCCUGGAGAAGUUUCCCCUUUGAUAAAGUUCAGUCUCUCUUGCUGGAGAAAAUGCUGUUUCCUGAAAAUGGAUUAUAAUCUACUCUUUAAUAUCUCCUUAUGUUUCUCAUGUUUAUCUUACUACCCCAUGGAGGAGCUGCUAAGAACAUCCCACAGUUUAUCUGUCUUGGCGUUCAGCAGGGCGGCAACAGCAGGAAUCAAUGGCACUGCUGCUGCUCUGCUCGGCCAUUGUAAAGGGAAAAAAAGUCCUACUGCUGUGUGAGAUCCACAUUCCUAUCUUCCAGAAGACACAUGUGCUGGCACCACCAUCGUCCAUCAGACCAGAAGAUUGAGUCUGCUGUCAGGUCAGAGCUUCUCUGCUGGCAGUUGG